GGCAUCAGGUGGUGGUUGGUUGUUUUGUGUUUUAUUGUCAGCUGGAAGUCCAAGUUAACAAAGUUUCUCUACUCUCCUCUCCUAUGGUUCCCAGUGUCUGGUUGGUAGUUUUAGGCUUUGGUUCAAGAGGCAACACAAGAGAAGCCCAGUUACUCCAUCAUAUUUUUCACUUUAAGUUCACUGUGGGUCUUUAACAACUAAAGUUUAAGAAAAAUACUGAAAUGAAAACACUUUGUAACUUGUUGGAAAGCAGAGAUGGAGACUCUAGUUCAAGACUCCAACUCACCAGCAGCUUGUUAAAUCCUUUUUGGUCUCCAGAUGAAGCUCAGUCACACACUUCUUCCUGUUUAUUACAUUGUUGAAAGCUAAACUAUCAUUUUAUGACACGUCUACAACAUUUCUCCCAGGUUUAAUCCACAAUCUCCAUCAUGCUGACACACUGAGGAACUUCUCUUGAUGACUUUUACCAGGAUGAUGGCGCCCUCUAGUGUUGAAGAAGAGUUUGUUAACAUGAAACCCAACCUGUAACCCUGAUGCUGCUCAGUGACAGGAGAAAUGAUGAGCUUCACUUCUUUAGCUGUUUUUCCUUGGAAUGAGAGACGGAGGAACAUGAUCUUUAUCUCACUGAUCAAAAACAACCUAAUCUCUUUGUAAUUAACAUGUUUUAUUUCAACAAAGCCAGAAAGAAACACAUAUUUUCUGCUAUGUUCUGGACAUUAAAACUAUUUUCUGAUGUUUCACAGACUGUUAUUCUUUUCUCAGUAGUUUUAUUGUUUGUUCAUCAAAUCACAGAAAAUACAGAAAAUAAGAGGAUAGAAGCUGAUCUGAAGCUGCUCUCAAACAUCUUAUUAACUCAUUGAAGUUUUCUGCCUCCAUUUAUUUGGUUUUGUCCAACGCUGCCAACAUAGUUGAGAAUAUCCAAUGAAUCUUUAAAAUGAGCGUCUCUGCUGCAGAAGCUGCUGCUUGUAGAGGUUUCUGUGUGCUUUGACAGGGUUUGCAGGGUUGUGUAUCUGCAUGGAGGUUUGCAGCACAGGAACAGGAGAACUUCCUCUCACCUUUCCUCUUCAUCCUGCAGCAGUGGUGGAAGCAGAGGAUGUUCUUGAUGAAUGAAGGUGAAACCAAACAUCUGAUCUGAUCCAGCAUCACAUGAGACACUCUGAAGGAAAUGUUUCUGCUCUUUAGACGACAAAACUCACAAUUUAUUGUUAGAAUGAAAAGAAAACUUUCCACAUUUCUCUGGAAUCAAGUUGUUUUAUUGAAGAAAUCCAAAGAGACAGAACAGCAGACAUAUAUUUUUCUGAUCUAAAUCUAAAGGAUUCAGAAGAAAACAGCAUCAGUUCUAAGUUGAUGUUAGUUUCAGUUUUCUUCUUUGGAUCACAAUAAAGAAACCAGAAGCAAGUUCAGUUCACUUCAAUCUCAACUGAUUUAAACAAGAACAACAUUUGUUCUGCAGAACAGUGGAAGAGAAACCAGAAGAUCCAAAUACAUCAAUACAAAUAUGAAACCAGAACCAUUAGAGCCCAGAGAAGUUUAGAUUUUCAUGUGGAGAAAUAUUUCUGUGUCAAAUAAGAAUGAAAGAAAACAUCAGCAGUGAAAUCCUUUCUGGUUCCUGGAACACAGACACAGAGAACUACAUUUAAACAAGAACAAUGAAGAA